AUUGAACGCUGGCGGCAGGCCUAACACAUGCAAGUCGAGCGGAUGAAGGGAGCUUGCUCCUGGAUUCAGCGGCGGACGGGUGAGUAAUGCCUAGGAAUCUGCCUGGUAGUGGGGGAUAACGUCCGGAAACGGGCGCUAAUACCGCAUACGUCCUGAGGGAGAAAGUGGGGGAUCUUCGGACCUCACGCUAUCAGAUGAGCCUAGGUCGGAUUAGCUAGUUGGUGGGGUAAAGGCCUACCAAGGCGACGAUCCGUAACUGGUCUGAGAGGAUGAUCAGUCACACUGAAACUGAGACACGGUCCAGACUCCUACGGGAGGCAGCAGUGGGGAAUAGUGGACAAGGGGCGAAAGCCUGAUCCAGCCAUGCCGCGUGUGAAGAAGGUCUUCGGAUUGUAAAGCACUUUAAGUUGGGAGGAAGGGCAGUAAGUUAAUACCUUGCUGUUUUGACGUUACCAACAGAAUAAGCACCGGCUAACUUCGUG
rnacentral:rRNA from 1 species